AUUGAACGCUGGCGGCAGGCCUAACACAUGCAAGUCGAACGAGCGGCGGACGGGUUAGUAAUGUCUGGGAAACUGCCUGAUGGAGGGGGAUAACUACUGGAAACGGUAGCUAAUACCGCAUACCAUCAGAUGUGCCCAGAUGGGAUUAGCUUGUUGGUAGGGUAACGGCUUACCAAGGCGACGAUCCCUAGCUGGUCUGAGAGGAUGACCAGACACACUGGGACUGAGACACGGCCCAGACGCCUACGGGAGGCAGCAGUGGGGAAUAUUGCACAAUGGGCGCAAGCCUGAUGCAGCCAUGCCGCGUGUAUGAAGAAGGCCUUCGGGUUGUAAAGUACUUUCAGCGGGGAGGCGUUACCGACAGAAGAAGCACCGGCUAACUCCGUGCCAGCCGCCGCGGUAAUAC
rnacentral:rRNA from 1 species